UACGGGGGGGGCAAGCGUUGUUCGGAAUUACUGGGCGUAAAGGGCUCGUAGGCGGCCAACUAAGUCAUACGUGAAAUCCCUCGGCUUAACCGGGGAACUGCGUCUGAUACUGGAUGGCUUGAGUUCGGGAGAGGGAUGCGGAAUUCCAGGUGUAGCGGUGAAAUGCGUAGAUAUCAGGAGGAACACCAAUUGCGAAGGCAGCUCGCUGGGACGUUACUGACGCUGAGACGCGAAAGCGUGGGGAGCAAACAGG
rnacentral:rRNA from 1 species